rnacentral:lncRNA from 1 species
GUUCUGGAUACGCAGACUGUGCAGGAAUGGCAACACAUGCAGGUUCCUCCAUGGGCACAUGAGAGAUUCAAGGUUGUCCAACAAGUGCAACUAUGAUCCUUUUUCCACUAGGUUUCUACCCCCCUUUGGAAUGAGAUUUCACGGUAUGGUAUAACUAUGAGGCGUGAUAGGGGUCACAUUGAAUAGAAUCAUACACUGUAAAGGGGUUGCCCUGAAAUUGUCAGUAAUUUACAGGUAGCUCAUUGGCAAGUAAGUUACUGUAUUUGAUAUUGCAGUACAGCUACUGUAAUCCUAAUACAGUCUCAAAGCAAGUAACUGUGUAAUGACAUAAUACAAUACUGUAAAAUUAACUGUAUUGUACUGUAAAAAAAUAGUUUAGGCUGCUGUAUUUGCAUUGAAUGAAUAGAUGAAUGAAAUUAAUUGAGGGGAGAUGGGGUUUGUAUUUUACUGUAAUUACAAGGGAUUGGUGCUUUUAGGUUGGCUGCUAGGUAAUGUGUUUACACGUGUGUUUGCACAUUACGGCAUAUCAAUUAAUAUUUUGUGUUUUACAUCAGUUGCGUUUAAGGCCUUAACAAAGGCUACCAAACUGGCAGCAACUACAAGGUAAAACAGACCAAUAGGACAUGGCAAAAUCCUCAACCAUGAAGGUUAAAUAGUUGCUGCUACUCCAAUCUGUCCCCUGUACAUUUUAAAUUGAUGGUACGCUACUACCACAUAUCAGUUAAAUUGGUACAGCACUCUCAGUAAAGGGUGCAAGAAAUGUAGCCACUUACAAAGCAUGCCUCAAAUAUGUUAAUAAGCCAGAACCACAAUACCAUGCAUCCACUAGUGGACACAAGGUUUUUGUCGCUCCACAAAUACAGUAAGGUGCUGUAUUCUGUGGGAUGGAGUUACAGUACCAUUUGAAAUACAGAAAUUCUUUCCCCGCCCACAAUAUUUUACCACAAUGCACCAUAAUUUACAGUUGCUGCAGUAAAACAUUUGACCAUAUUUUUCUGUUAAUAAUACCCCAAAUUACCAAUAUAAAUUAUAGUUUUCCAUUACAGUGUGGGGCAAUUAGAGUAUGGACGUUGACUAGUGAAAGUAGUAAUCUUUUUUGUCUUUGUCCAAUCAAUCAGUGGACUACAAUGACUGGGAGUACCCCCUGGAGUACCCUGUUCAUUGGAUCACCCCCCAGAAGACUUCAAGUCUGCCCAUUCUACAACAGGGGAUUUUGCAUCCGUGGCCCUAAGUGCAGACGUCCCCAUAUCCCUGGGUUGAUGAUGUGUCCCAGGCACCUGAUUGGCUUCUAUCCAUAUGGAGCAGACUGCAGUUUCACCCAAAAUGGCAGAUGAUACCCAGGAUCUACAACACUGAUCACUCAAAG